GAGUUUGAUCCUGGCUCAGGAUGAACGCUGGCGGCGUGCUUAACACAUGCAAGUCGAACGAAGCACUUUAUUUGAUUUCCUUCGGGACUGAUUAUUUUGUGACUGAGUGGCGGACGGGUGAGUAACGCGUGGGUAACCUGCCUUGUACAGGGGGAUAACAGUUGGAAACGGCUGCUAAUACCGCAUAAGCGCACAGCAUCGCAUGAUGCAGUGUGAAAAACUCCGGUGGUAUAAGAUGGACCCGCGUUGGAUUAGCUAGUUGGUGAGGUAACGGCCCACCAAGGCGACGAUCCAUAGCCGACCUGAGAGGGUGACCGGCCACAUUGGAACUGAGACACGGUCCAAACUCCUACGGGAGGCAGCAGUGGGGAAUAUUGCACAAUGGGCGAAAGCCUGAUGCAGCAACGCCGCGUGAGCGAUGAAGGCCUUCGGGUCGUAAAGCUCUGUCCUCAAGGAAGAUAAUGACGGUACUUGAGGAGGAAGCCCCGGCUAACUACGUGCCAGCCGCCGCGGUAAUAC
rnacentral:rRNA from 1 species